AACUGUGUGGCAUAGUGGUUUGCAUUUUGGACUAUGACUCUAGAGAUCAGGGUUCAAUUCCCAGCUCGGCCA